UUCUGUUCACAUCUGUAAUGCUGAAUUGUUGGUACUUCAGUGAGGUGCAAUGAGAAAAUGUAAAAGGUUUGGUUAGUUUCAGGGAUGUAUGAAUCGGAAUUGAGACCUAGAACUAAAUAUUAAGAUUAAAUUUUAAUUUGAAAUCUGUUAACCUUAAAAGUUAAAACAAGGAAG